AAGCAAUCCCUGAGUAAAGUGGCGCACGGGUGAGUAACACGUGGGUUAUCCGCCCUCUGGUGGGGAAUAACCCUGGGAAACCGGGGCUAAUACCGCAUAAGUCCGAGAGGAGAAAGCCGAAAGGCGCCAGAGGAGGAGCCCGCGGCCGAUUAGCUAGUUGGUGAGGUAAUGGCUCACCAAGGCGACGAUCGGUAGCCGGCCUGAGAGGGCACACGGCCACACUGGCACUGAAACACGGGCCAG
rnacentral:rRNA from 1 species